rnacentral:rRNA from 1 species
GACGAACGCUGGCGGCGUGCUUAACACAUGCAAGUCGAACGGAAAGGCCCUGCUUUUGUGGGGUGCUCGAGUGGCGAACGGGUGAGUAACACGUGAGUAACCUGCCCUUGACUUUGGGAUAACUUCAGGAAACUGGGGCUAAUACCGGAUAGGAGCUCCUGCUGCAUGGUGGGGGUUGGAAAGUUUCGGCGGUUGGGGAUGGACUCGCGGCUUAUCAGCUUGUUGGUGGGGUAGUGGCUUACCAAGGCUUUGACGGGUAGCCGGCCUGAGAGGGUGACCGGCCACAUUGGGACUGAGAUACGGAGCAGACUCCUACGGGAGGCAGCAGUGGGGAAUAUUGCACAAUGGGCGGAAGCCUGAUGCAGCAACGCCGCGUGCGGGAUGAAGGCCUUCGGGUUGUAAACCGCAUUAGCCUGUGACGAAGCGUGAGUGACGGUAAUGGGUAAAGAAGCACCGGCUAACUACGUG